AACCCUUAUUUUUAACCCUGUGACAGGUUCUGUUUCCUGUUUCCAACAGCACUUGUCAGAUGUAUUAGUGAAAUCAAACAGUGUGGAAAAAACUAAUAUACUAUGAUGUAUUUAAAGGCAUUUAACUAUCAGCUGUACUUUGUGUAAAAGCAUGUGUCUUCUAAUUGUCUGGUUCAAAUAAAAGGCUUUAAUACUGUAGGUAUAA